AUCUCUUUUAUUCUCCAAUUUGUACAAAGGAUAGGAGACAAAGUGGUCUUCACAGGUGCGUCAGGGCACAACUAAUGGCCAUUUUUAUAACCUUCAUAUCCUCUGAGCCUCAGAGAGGGAGCUUGGGAAGCCCUGGCAGAGGAUGAGCCAUCCCAGCAGCUUUUCUUGCUGUAAAAAUCAAAUCUCCGUAGGGGGAACUGGGCCUGUCAGAGCCAAAAAAGAUGAACAAAAACCUAAGAGGGGAUUAGUUUUGAGAUGCUGCCGUUUCCCUCUCCUCCACCUCUGUUACCUACUCUGCCAGCAGAAAAGCUUUAAUGAGAGCGUAAUCACUCAGACUCUUGCUGCCUCGUGCGACUCCCCUCCUCCUUAUCCCCCCUCUAAACUAAGCAAAGGAUUAAUUUGCUAAAUUUAAAUAGUUCAACCUGCAAAUCCAAAUGGCAAGGUACAAAACCAAUUCCUGCAAAGUUUUUGCUUUCAGCCAUGUAAGCUGCCCUGUGCUGUCCCUCCAGCUCCCUGGAGAGGGAUGCAGCCAGGCAGACCCCAUGUCUGCACCCCACCAGGCUGCAGGUGAGUGCCCCACGCUGUCAAUUUCUAAAUGAAAUAGUGUUACUUUGUGCGUUUCAGGGGCAGUGUGUGUUCAGUUUGUUGCUGGAGUCUCAGUUGUGGGGAUGCACAGGGCUGGCUGGGAAACAUGCAGCAGUGCAGCAUCCUUGUGCUUCUAACUUCCAAAGCCAAACCAUCAGGGUUGUGGCCCAUGAUAGGGAUAAUCUGAGUGUGCAAGGACUGCAGGAUGUUUGUGAUUUAUAGAGAGGAGACAAUCUUUUAUGUAUGAAUAAGCAGUAGUAAAUCAGUAAAAAAAUGUUCAAAAUACCAGAUGCAAUGCAAGUUUAUAUCAAAUGCGGCAAGUCAGCAGCAUACAAGGGCAAUUGAUUGCUUGAGCUUUGAAAACUUUGUGAGGGACCACUCGCACAGGGCUGGAGCCAGAGCUGCAGAAGUGGUCUGGAGAUUCACCUGCUCUUCCAAAAUAUUUAUCUCUCUGAAGGGUUCACAGAAUUUCUGUUCUGAUCUGUAGAAUGUUUUCAAGCAUUUUUAUCACAAGGAUCUCCCCCUGGCACACUCAAGCCAAAGAAAUUUCAUUUUCUUCCUUUUCGGGUUUUAUGUACUGUGUGGGGAUGCAUGCUGCUGGCCCCAAGGGUCACGCAGCAUUUAAACAAGGCUGGAACGCCAUCUGUAACCAAAGUGCUGCGCAAAUUCCCAUCCCAGCACUCAGGGAGGGAAGAGUGCUGCAGCUUCCUCUCCUUCACUUGGAACGGUGCAAGAAGCCCCAGUUAGAUUUGAUCAUGGCUUCUCCCAGAUCAGCAGAAAUCCCAUGGGGUGGGAAGAUCUUACAGGCAAGACCUUGUGGUCAGCAUCAUGAAAGUUAGGGCAGGUAAAAAAAUAAAACAAAGCAUCAGUGCCC
rnacentral:lncRNA from 1 species